rnacentral:tRNA from 1 species
GUUUUAAUAGUUUAAAAAAAACGAUGAUAUUGUAAAUCAUAAAUAGAGUUAAUCUUUAAAACU